rnacentral:rRNA from 1 species
AGUGAACGCUGGCGGCGUGCUUAACACAUGCAAGUCGAACGAGAACGGAUUAUAGCUUGCUAUAAUUGUCAGCUAAGUGGCGCACGGGUGAGUAAUGUAUAGGUAAUAUGCCUCUUACUAAGGGAUAACAAAUGGAAACGUUUGCUAAUACCUUAUACUCCUUAUUAACAUAAGUUAAUAAGGGAAAGAUUUAUUGGUAAGAGAUUAGCCUGUAUUGUAUCAGUUAGUUGGUGGGGUAAUGGCUUACCAAGACUAUGACACAUAACUGGUUUGAGAGGAUGAGCAGUCACACUGGAACUGAAACACGGUCCAGACUCCUACGGGAGGCAGCAGUGGGGAAUAGUGCACAAUGGACGGAAGUCUGAUGCAGCAACGCCGCGUGGAGGAUGACACAUUUCGGUGCGUAAACUCCUUUUAUAUGAGAAGAUAAUGACGGUAUUAUAUGAAUAAGCACCGUCUAACUCCGUGCCAGCAGCCGCCGUAACAC